GCUGUCUCAGAGAUGUGAUAAUAAUAGUCUAGGACAAGUGGAUAGUUUCCCCCCCCCCCCUGCCUAUAGAAACCUAUCUAUGCUUUCCUCAUGGGUCCAGCUCUCAGUGUGCAUCUCAGUAGCAGGGGUCUGCAUGGGCAAUAUACUCCAAGAAUGCGAUGUACAGGUAAGUAACUUCUUUUCUGUGUGGAAGCAGGACAGGAAAACAGGAUGUAGUCAUAAACCGUGAGUUUAUCAUGUAAAUGUUGGUUAUUUCCCCCAGGCACUGUUUGACUUUCCUAGAAUCAGUACACUGGAGCUGACUUCAAGAAGGGAAACUUGAUCUAUCCAUGCAGCAGGAUCAACAAAGACUAGAGGAACUGUCCACGAUGCCACUGGAAUCUUCCCAUGUGCUUUUGUGAAGAUCAUUCAAGACUUACCCCCAGAGGAGGGCACUAUCAAUUGGCUGCGCUGCUAUUACCAGGAUGACACUCUCCACAGCAUCAGGGACAUAUCAGUGGAAGAGGACCUGAGCAGCACCCCAUUGUUCAAGGACCUCAUGGCAUUAAUGAGGUACAGCACAGGCAGAUGGAGGAGGUGCAGCCACUACUGGAUGCAGAGAUUCACUCCCAGGCAUAUUUCCUGAGUUCCUCCCACUUCUGGCUGCUUUAGGGUCUGUCCAGCCAUCCCAGUGUUCUGGGCUUGACAUACUCUUCCCUAUUACUCUGGAGAGUUGGCAGUUGUCACAACCUGGCCCAGUACCACUCUGUAUGGUCCCUAGUCUGUUGUGAAUGGACCCAAUGACUGGGUUCCAUGUGCUUCCAAGCCAAGUGGGCCUGGGCAGAGUCUAAUCAUUGUUUCUAGCUGUGGGAGUCUAGGACACACUCCCAGGCUUGGGCCUUUUGUCUGACACCCUUGGGAUGUGGGGCACCACUGUCCAGCCACCCUAGAGCCUUAAACUGGUGUCUGAGACCUGCUGAGCACCCCAGUCAUUUAGUCCUGCUCCCCAGAUCUCCUCUGAGGCUGUGGGUCACUCAGGGAUUCUAGUUUAACCCCUUAGGGGACAAUGUGGCAGAAAAGCGAGGAACGCAGACUUAGCAGAGGAAUUUCUUAACCACAGAAACUUUACUCUUAAAGGACUCAAGAGUUACAGCUCUCUGAAAACAAAAGUCCUGAGACACCUCCUCCCCUGGUGUGUGCUCGCCUCUGCUGGGAGUCUGAGGUUUGUCAGCAUUUCAGGUGGAGCAGAGACCUACCUGCUCUCCCCUCCUGCAAGUCCUUUGGUUGUGUGUAUGCAGAGAUGAUUGGCCCUCCUGUACAGAGCAGAAUCCUGCUCUUAAAUAGAUCUCUGUCUCUCUACCACGUGGGAAACUCCAGUCCCCCUACAUUCUUAAUCCCAAGACUCAGCUUUUGAAGGAAAUCUUUGUUCAUGCUGGGAGUCCAAACCAGUUUAUUUGGAGCCUCUUGCAGACAGAGACCUUCUCAGUGCCCAGCUACAGGCUAGCCUCUUCUUGCAGCAGCAGCAUUCUGCAUACCCCAGGCCCCAGAGGAGUUAAGCGAAUUCACUGUUCUCCCACAUUAGGCUUAAAGGGACAGCUGCUAUGUUGCUUAUUAUAUAUGCCUUGAUUGCAAUCCCUCGAGGUGGGGAGUGGGGGGGUUGUAAUUAUUUGUGUCACCGGGGGACCGGCUGGGAACUCAGAGCUACUCCUGGAAGCAUUGAGGGAAAUGUAUUGUUCCAGUGUAGAGACUGCAAAGUAGCUUUCCUUCCUCCUCUCUCCAGGCCAAAAUAUUUUAAGUUCCCUACCAUAAAACCAGAGGUCGUCAAGGUUCCUCCUUGAAUGCGUUAAAUCCCAUGGCUUUCUGUAACUCUUACCACUUUUAGGAAAUGGGCCCCAUGAUGACUGAUGAUAAUUUCCAUGACGUAAUUGCUCAAUCAAAUUUCACUCCUUCUCUGGCUUCCUCCUUUUUUUAACCAACUUUUGCAGCCUCACAUGACAUAGCUACCAGCAAAUUGCUAUUCUAUCAAACCCUGCUACAGUUCGAGUAGAAGCUAGUCUGAACCUUUAACUCCCUUUUCUCAGUCACUUAUAACUUUCUGACAUGUUUACUUAUGGGGCUGAAAUUUCCCAAGCUUGGUCUUUGCCUGAAAGUGAAAUUUUUUUUUGAAAGCUUCAGCAAAAUCUGUUUAGCCAUUUUUAGC